rnacentral:rRNA from 1 species
AUUAGAGUUUGAUCCUGGCUCAGGAUGAACGCUGGCGGCGUGCUUAACACAUGCAAGUCGAACGAUGAAGCCUGGUGCUUGCACCGGGUGGAUUAGUGGCGAACGGGUGAGUAUCACGUGAGUAACCUACCCUUGACUCUGGGAUAAGCCCGGGAAACUGGGUCUAAUACCGGAUAUGACCAGUCACCGCAUGGUGUGCUGGUGGAAAGCUUUAGCGGUUUUGGAUGGACUCGCGGCCUAUCAGCUAGACGGUGAGGUAAUGGCUCACCGUGGCGAUGACGGGUAGCCGGCCUGAGAGGGUGACCGGCCACACUGGGACUGAGACACGGCCCAGACUCCUACGGGAGGCAGCAGUGGGGAAUAUUGCACAAUGGGCGCAAGCCUGAUGCAGCGACGCCGCGUGUGGGAUGACGGCCUUCGGGUUGUAAACCACUUUCAGCAGGGAAGAAGCUUUUUGUGACGGUACCUGCAGAAGAAGCGCCGGCUAACUACGUGCCAGCAGCCGCGGUAAUACGUAGGGCGCGAGCGUUAUCCGGAAUUAUUGGGCGUAAAGAGCUCGUAGGCGGUUUGUCACGUCUGCUGUGAAAGCCCGGGGCUUAACCCCGGGUGUGCAGUGCGUACGGGCAGACUGGAGUGCAGUAGGGGAGACUGGAAUUCCUGGUGUAGCGGUGAAAUGCGCAGAUAUCAGGAGGAACACCGAUGGCGAAAGGCAGGUCUCUGGGCUGUUACUGACGCUGAGG